UACGUAGGGUGCGAGCGUUGUCCGGAAUUAUUAGGCGUAAAGAGCUUGUAGGCGGUUUGUCGCGUCUGCCGUGAAAAUCCGGGGCUCAACCCCGGACUUGCGGUGGGUACGGGCAGACUAGAGUGUGGUAGGGGAGACUGGAAUUCCUGGUGUAGCGGUGAAAUGCGCAGAUAUCAGGAGGAACACCGAUGGCGAAGGCAGGUCUCUGGGCCGAUACUGACGCUGAGGAGCGAAAGCGUGGGGAGCGAACAGG
rnacentral:rRNA from 1 species